rnacentral:tRNA from 1 species
GGGAAGGUAGCUCAGUGGUAGAGUGCUUGCCUUGCAUGCAUGAGGCCCUAGGUUUGAUUCCUUAGCACCA